GUUUUCUCCACAAAUCUAAAAUGUUCUCUGCAAAAAUCGACGAAUUUAUGUUUUCUACCCUAUACAUCAAUAAAUCUUAAAUAUUACUUCAAUGGGGAUGAGUUCAAUCGAAGAACUGAUGGAAAACAUCAGCAAUUUCCUCUCUCAAUUGUUCAUAACCCAACCCAUCAUUCCUACAAAAGACAAUCGUUCCUCUCUCCAAAACAGUUAAACCCAUCUCCCUAUUCUUCGAUUCUUCUUCUAAUUAGCCUAAAUCAAUGUACAAGUAGUGGAUCUCAAGCCCACCGGCGACAAAGGCAUGUAUGAAUAUAAAUUUGCAUAAUUUUUUUUUAGAAUUCACCAUCGGCAAUGACAAGCAGGCGAGUCGAUCUACGGCGACGACAUUUGUUGAAGUGGAAAUGCAGGGGAUUGAAGUGGAAGUCUUCUCUAUUUCACGCUCUAUCCAUCGAAAAUGGAGACGCAUAGAGACACAUUUUCCCAGGGGAAUUUUUUUUAUGCUAAAGCUAAAGUAGAAAGCCUAGCUCAUAUGGGUUUAGAAAAACCAUCUUUCGGGAUAUUCUCAGCGCAUCAGUUGCAGAAAAUUCAGUUUUCUGAAUUUGUUUCAGCAUCAUUUCUAGCACGUAUCACCAACAUUUGUUGGCCGCAGAUGUAAAGAAAUCAAAAGGGAUGUGUCCAUAAGCCACCAGAGAGGAUUGGGGAAGAAAGAUGUGGAGAAAUCAAUAGGACGUGUGAAAGAGUAACAUGAUGGACUGUUUCUCUUGGAUGGAAAUAUCAUUGACGGCCAUGUUUCAAAAAUCUAAACAUUCAUAGGACACUUAUUGAAAAUUUAGAGAGUGCUAAUGCACCCAUAUAUCA